rnacentral:rRNA from 1 species
CUUGACGAUCAUAGAGCGUUGGAACCACCUGAUCCCUUCCCGAACUCAGAAGUGAAACGACGUGGGGCGGCACAAUGUCGCCAAUGCCCUGGCUGCCGCCGCUGCCGCCCAUGCACUGGGCGUGCCNGAUUGUGUGUUGUAAGGU